AACGCGAAGAACCUUACCUGGGUUUGACAUCCUCUGAAAUUAGUAGAGAUAUUAAUGGCUCGCAAGAGACAGAGAGACAGGUGCUGCAUGGCUGUCGUCAGCUCGUGUUGUGAAAUGUUGGGUUAAGUCCCGCAACGAGCGCAACCCUUGCCUUUGGUUGCCAACAUUUAAGGUGGGCACUCCAGAGGGACUGCCGUCGUCAAGACGGAGGAAGGUGGGGAUGACGUCAAGUCCUCAUGGCCUUUAUAUCCAGGGCGACACACGUGAUACAAUGGUAGGUACAGAGGGUAGCGAAGUGGCGACACGGAGCCAAUCCCAAAAAGCCUAUCUCAGUUCGGAUUGGAGUCUGCAACUCGACUCCAUGAAGUUGGAAUCGCUAGUAAUCGCGGAUCAGCACGCCGCGGUGAAUACGUUCCCGGGCCUUGUACACACCGUAGAGAC
rnacentral:rRNA from 1 species